rnacentral:rRNA from 1 species
UAAGACGUAGGAGGCGAGCGUUAUCCGGAAUUAUUGGGCGUAAAGGGCGUGUAGGCGGCCCUUUAAGUCUGUGGUGAAAUCUCCCGGCUCAACUGGGAGGGGGCCAUAGAUACUGGAGGGCUUGAGGGCAGCAGAGGGAGGUGGAAUUCCCGGUGUAGUGGUGAAAUGCGUAGAUAUCGGGAGGAACACCAGUGGCGAAGGCGGCCUCCUGGGCUGCACCUGACGCUGAGGCGCGAAAGCGUGGGGAGCAAACAGGAUUAGAUACCCUGGUAGUCCACGCCGCAAACGAUGGACACUAGGUAUGGGGGGUAUCGACCCCCUCCGUGCCGAAGCUAACGCCUUAAGUGUCCCGCCUGGGGAGUACGGCCGCAAGGCU